UACGGAGGGGGCUAGCGUUGUUCGGAAUUACUGGGCGUAAAGCGCGCGUAGGCGGCUAUGUAAGUCAGAGGUGAAAGCCCGGGGCUCAACUCCGGAACUGCCUUUGAGACUGUGUGGCUUGAAUCCGGGAGAGGUGAGUGGAAUUCCGAGUGUAGAGGUGAAAUUCGUAGAUAUUCGGAAGAACACCAGUGGCGAAGGCGGCUCACUGGACCGGUAUUGACGCUGAGGUGCGAAAGCGUGGGGAGCAAACAGG
rnacentral:rRNA from 1 species